rnacentral:rRNA from 1 species
AGUGAACGCUGGCGGUAGGCCUAACACAUGCAAGUCGAACGGCAGCACAGUAAGAGCUUGCUCUUACGGGUGGCGAGUGGCGGACGGGUGAGGAAUACAUCGUAAUCUACUUUUUCGUGGGGGAUAACGUAGGGAAACUUACGCUAAUACCGCAUACGACCUACGGGUGAAAGCAGGGGAUCUUCGGACCUUGCGCGAUUGAAUGAGCCGAUGUCGGAUUAGCUAGUUGGCGGGGUAAAGGCCCACCAAGGCGACGAUCCGUAGCCGGUCUGAGAGGAUGAUCAGCCACACUGGAACUGAGACACGGUCCAGACUCCUACGGGAGGCAGCAGUGGGGAAUAUUGGACAAUGGGCGCAAGCCUGAUCCAGCCAUACCGCGUGGGUGAAGAAGGCCUUCGGGUUGUAAAGCCCUUUUGUUGGGAAAGAAAAGCAGCAGGUUAAUACCCCGCUGUUCUGACGGUACCCAAAGAAUAAGCACCGGCUAACUUCGUG